rnacentral:rRNA from 1 species
CACGCCGUAAACGAUGGAUACUAAGUGUUGGAAGAAUUCAGUGCUGUAGUUAACGCAAUAAGUAUCCCGCCUGGGGAGUAUGCGCGCAAGCGUAAAACUCAAAGGAAUUGACGGGGGCCCGCACAAGCGGUGGAGUAUGUGGUUUAAUUCGAAGCAACGCGAAGAACCUUACCAGAUCUUGACAUACCACGCAAAAGCAUAGAGAUAUGUAAUAGUUAUGGUGGAUACAGGUGG